rnacentral:antisense_RNA from 1 species
AAGUGUCUCACCUGUAGUCAAAGAGGGGCAGCAUCAAACCAGACACUGCUUUUGGCAGUGAAAUGAGCAAAGAGUGCCCCCACGGGUAACACUUCAUGUUGGUGAGGACAUGGGAAAGCACUACUACAAACCUCUGGAGAACAAUUUCUAUGAAGUGUGAAGAAUAGAGUUUUUGACAAUUGUACUUGCUCUCUUCACUCUUCGGGAUUCUAUAAGAGAUGUCCAGCAAGCAGCAAAGCUGGGCUUACAAUGUUCUACCAGGCAUGGAAGGAAGCACUGCAAAGCUGACAUCAGCACAAAUACCUGUGGAAACUGCAGGGGCCAAGGCAAUGAGGUGCUACUUCAAGUAGGAUGUGACCAUUUGACAUGUCCUGCUGACAACUGAACAAAAUGCUCUAAUAUGGCAAAGAAUGAGCCGCAUCUUCAAAACCGAGCAGCAACUUCGUUCUCAUUCUGCAGAAGAGUGGUUUACAAACAAAUCUCCAACCACUUCAAAUUCACUCAACCUUCAACCUUUGGAGGGCAAAUGUGCUCGCAAACAUUGAUUUCCAGAAAAGGUAACUGUGUCUCCAAUA